CAGACUCCAUCAUUCACACCAAGCUGGACGAAGCUCAGCCCUGCGUGUCUGUUAGCUCUGUAUUGAACAUGGGGACACUGAUGGCGUAGAUAUGCAUUUCGCCCAUGAAGCAUGCUUCUCUUAGUCAUGAGCUCAGCAAAGCAUUGCUAUGUCUGUGUAAGGUAAAAAGCAGGCAUCAGCCCCAAGUCCUUGGCUCAGCCAUAUUCUUCUGCUGGCACUCACGUCUCACCAGAAAUCCUGAGUUGAUCCCUUGGGCCAGGGACAUCCUUCUCCAUCACAGGAAGGGGUUCCUCAUGAAAUGCCAGGAUCCUCCCCGGGUAUGGAGAGAAGAUAGAGAGCUUCAGUUACAGGUGUUCAUAAGCCACCUCACGUGGGCACUGGCAGUGGAACUCAGGGCCUCAGCCAGAGCAGUCUGUGCUCUUAACCUCUGAGCCAUCUCUCCAGCCCAAGGCUGUAUCUUCAGGAGGAAAAACGUCACCAUUUCUGCUGGCCAGGUCUGCAUCUUCUGCGAGGGAGGGCGCUGCUUUUGUUCCCGAGGUGGCUGCAGGAAGGAGCAAAUUCAGGAAAAGUCUCCAGCCAAACUCUUCAUUUUGGCCAACAGAUCGACUGCAUUACCACGCCUGCCCCACCCCUGCCCCACCCCUAC